UACGUAGGGGGCAAGCGUUGUCCGGAAUCAUUGGGCGUAAAGAGCGUGUAGGCGGCUUGUUAAGUCUUGCGUGAAAUCUCGGGGCUCAACCCCGAGCGGUCGUGAGAAACUGGCAGGCUCGAGUGUGGGAGAGGAAAGCGGAAUUCCUGGUGUAGCGGUGAAAUGCGUAGAUAUCAGGAGGAACACCUGCGGUGUAGACGGCUUUCUGGACCAUAACUGACGCUGAGAUACGAAAGCGUGGGUAGCAAACAGG
rnacentral:rRNA from 1 species